AGAGUGAACGCUGGCGGCAGGCCUAACACAUGCAAGUCGAACGGCAGCACAGAGGAGCUUGCUCCUUGGGUGGCGAGUGGCGGACGGGUGAGGAAUACGUCGGAAUCUGCCUAUUUGUGGGGGAUAACGUAGGGAAACUUACGCUAAUACCGCAUACGACCUACGGGUGAAAGCGGAGGACCUUCGGGCUUCGCGCAGAUAGAUGAGCCGACGUCGGAUUAGCUAGUGGCGGGUAAGCCCACAAGGCGACGAUCCGUAGCUGGUCUGAGAGGAUGAUCAGCCACACUGGAACUGAGAC
rnacentral:rRNA from 1 species